GAACGAUGUAAUUCCAUCCCCAGGCUGAAACACAUUAGCGCGUUUGGCAAGUGCUCUAUCAGAGGGCCAUCAGACUGAGGCUCGUGCAUGAGGGGAUAGCAUGCUUUUACUUUCACUCUCUUUGUAUUAAAAAACGAUUUCCCGGUCGGAAUAUUAUCGCUUUUUUAUGAGAAAAAUGGCAUAAAAAUUGAUUUUAAACAGCGGUUGACAUGCUUCGAAGUACGGUAAUGGAAUAUUUAGAAUUUUUUUGUCACGAAACGCGUCGUGCUCGUCACCCUUAUUUACCCUUUCGGAUAGUGUCUUGAACGCACGAACAAAACGCCGCUGUUUGGAUAUAACUAUGGAUUAUUUGGGACCAAACCAACAUUUGUUAUUGAAGUAGAAGUCCUGGGAGUGCAUUCUGACGAAGAACAGCAAAGGAUCUGCAGUCCUGGUGCCAGAGGCCCCCAGUAAACCUCCAACAGAAGCUCCAGGUUGUCCAUUACAGGAGUGGUUAAGGCUAUGAGCCAGCCUGUGACACCAGUCUUCCCGGUUUUGACCACUGCCUGACUGGACUACUUUCCCGCCUGCCUGAUCAUCCUGCAUGCCCUGACCUUGAAUCUGCCUGCCCUUCAGUACCUAUUGGACUCUGAACUGGUUUUAACCUUUACCCUGUACAUGACAUUCUCUUGCCUACUCCUUUUUGGAUUAAUACACAUUGUAUGACUCUAAUCUUGAUUAGAGGCCUUGUACCUUGAUAUAGUGUAUGUAAAUGAGAUAUUUCUGUAUUUCCUUUUCAAUUAAUAUACAAAAAUAUAUUGUUCACUUUGUCAUUAUGGAGUAUUAUGUGUAGAUGGGUGAGAAAUGAUCAAUUGAAUCCAUUUUUACUUCAGGUUUUAACACAAAAUGUGGAACAAGUCAAUGGGUAUGAAUUAUUUCUGAAGGCAUCCUAUGUACUCUGCUGUUCUUUUUUAAAGCAUACAAAACAUGAAUAAGAG
rnacentral:lncRNA from 1 species